UUUUCGCUCUUAUAUGCACGACUUAAAUCCAUAACCUCCAAAUCACAACAACAAAGAAUUAGCCUCCCCAAAUUUAAUCAAAAUUCAACUUUCAAUCUUUUACAAUGUACAAUUUGUAGGUCAAAGUUGGUACUUUCCAACCUUUCUUUGUGUUUUGUAGACUUGUUACUUCUUUCCCUCCAAACCAAGAACCCCAAAAACCCUUAAAACUCUCUCCCCUUUUUUCUUAUGUCAAUUUUUCCAUAAAAUUAUACUUCAAAAUACUCUCUAUGUGACAAAAUUUUCAAGAAUUUCAACUCCAAAAGUCGUAAAAAAAUUGAAAAUUCAACAUAUACAUGUUACCAUUAUCAAGAAUGAAGUCACUCUUUUGCCCAUUAAUUUCAAAACCCACCACCAUGUUUGUAUGUAGGAGAUAUGGGGUUCUUAGUACUUUCAAGAACCUUAAUUAUGCUCAAACAGUGAACCCCAUGAGUAAAGUUUGUACCUUUAGAUGUUCUACUGUGCAAAACUGUAGUCAAGUUAGGGUCUUGAAUAGUGAGUCAUUGGGUAAGAGUGAGGGUUCUGGUGAGGUUCAUGUGAUUGUUGGUCCUAUGUUUGCUGGAAAAACUACUACUCUUUUGAAGAGGAUUAAGUCUGAAAGAAGUAAUGGCAGUUUUCAGGCCAAUGGUGUAAAGAAUUCCCUCUAUUUGGAUGAGACGCUAAAAGGACUCUGUUUCUCGGGAAGGGUGGCUGAAGCAUUUGGAAUAUUGUGCCGCUCUGGUGUACAGGUGGAGGCAGAAACUUAUUCCCUUGUUCUGCAAGAGUGCAUUUUCCGCCAAGCGUAUAAGAAAGGGAAAAGAGUCCAUUGGCAAAUGAUCACCGUCGGCUUUGUUCCAAAUGAGUAUCUGACUGUUAAGUUGCUAAUUUUGUAUGCAAAAGCUGGAGAUUUGGAUACAGCACACAUUAUAUUUGAUAAGUUGCAAUUCAAAAGCCUGAUUUCGUGGAAUGCUAUGAUUGCUGGAUACGUGCAAAAGGGCAUGGAGGAAGUAGGCCUGAGUAUGUACCAUAAUAUGAAACAGAGAGAUGUACUUCCAGAUCAGUAUACCUUUUCAUCAGUCUUUAGAGCCUGUGCCUCUUUAGCUGUCCUCAACCAGGGCAAGCAAGCACAUGCGUUGUUGAUUAAAAGCCAAAUUAGUGGAAAUAUUGUAGUUAAUAGUGCGCUUAUGGACAUGUAUUUCAAGUGUAGUUCUCCGUCUGAUGGCUAUCUUGUGUUUAGUAAGUCCUUGGAAAGGAAUGUGAUAACAUGGACUGCUUUGAUAUCAGGGUACGGACAAAAUGGAAGAAUAAAAGAUGUUCUGGAAUCAUUUCAUAGGAUGAUAGAUGAAGGAUUUAGGCCAAACCAUGUUACGUUUCUUGCAGUUCUUUCUGCUUGUAGCCACGGAGGUCUGGUAGAUAGAGGUAAGGAGUAUUUUUCAUCUAUGAUGAGAGAUUAUGGGCUUCGACCAAGAGGAAAACAUUAUGCAGCUAUUGUGGAUCUUCUAGGCCGUGCUGGAAGAUUACAAGAGGCUCAUGAGUUUGUCAAAAACUCACGUUGUGGAGAGCACCCAGUAUUAUGGGGUGCCUUACUUGGGGCUUGUAAGAUUCAUGGAGACAUCGAGAUGGUAAAACUUGCUGCUAGAAAUUUCUUUGACUUGGAGCCGGAGAAUGCAGGCAAAUACGUUGUCUUGUCUAAUGCUUAUGCUUCUUUUGGUUUGUGGAACAAUGUUGCGGAGAUAAGGAGACUGAUGAAGGACACGGGAGUGAAAAAGGAGCCUGGUUAUAGCAUGAUUGAGAUUCAAAGACAAGCACAUUUCUUCUUUAUGGAGCAUAAUGCUCAUGAACAGACUGAUGAGAUAUAUAAAUUGGUCAAAGAUAUGGCAGGUAUAUUAAAAGACGCUGGCGAUGUUCCAGAGUUACUGAGUUAAGGGGAAAGGACCAACAUCAAUAUAGGUUGAAUUAUUUGGUUGAAUCCCUAGCAUUUAACUGCAAAGUGGAAAGACUAACAGUUGAACAUAGAAAGGAAAACAGGCUUCAGCCUUUUUGCUUCAAGUAGAGAAUGCACUUUCUAGACAUAAGCCUUACUUUCCUGGAAUCUGUGACCCUUCAUCAGAAUUGUUCUUGGGAGAUGAUAUUUGCCUCUGAAUGCAAGAAUUGGAUUGUGUUCUCUCACGGUUUCAGCUGAUGCAAGAUGGUGCUUUGUAGAAAGCGGGGGCUUGCUAUUUGCUUAUAUAUGAGGAACGUGUAUGUGAUACAGACCAAGGAGAGGAUCGGCUUCAGCGAUGUUCUAGGUUUACGGGAUGUGGUUUUUAGUAAAACAACAACAUACCCAGUGUAAUCCCACAAAGUGGGGUCUUGGUAAAACGACUAUAUCAAAGAAAACAUAUUCUCUUAAGAAGUGUAGCAAUUAUAAAGUCGGACAAGGAUACAAGAUAUGGAUUGGAUUCCAUCGUGACACAUGAUGGGGACAGAUUGCCAUGCUGGCCUUUAGCUAAUCUAUCGUCCUUCAAACAGAGAUGUGGUC